UUCGGGAGAAUCCGGUGAAAGCCGGUGCCGAAGGAGCAACCGCCCCGGUAAACUCUCAGGCGCAAGGACCGUUC
rnacentral:ncRNA from 1 species